rnacentral:rRNA from 1 species
UUAAACAUGAACCUUAUGGGACAUGUGCUUUUAUUAGGCUAAAACCAAGCGAUCGCAAGAUCGUUAUACUGGUUGAACUCUAGAUAACAUGCAGAUCGUAUGGUCUUGUACCGACGACAGAUCUUUCAAAUGUCUGCCCUAUCAACUUUUGAUGGUAGUAUCUAGGACUACCAUGGUUGCAACGGGUAACGGGGAAUCAGGGUUCGAUUCUGGAGAGGGAGCCUGAGAAACGGCUACCACAUCUAAGGAAGGCAGCAGGCGCGUAAAUUACCCACUCCCAGCUCGGGGAGGUAGUGACGAAAAAUAACAAUACAGGGACCAAUUGGAGGGCAAGUCUGGUGCCAGCAGCCGCGGUAAUUCCAGCUCCAAUAGCGUAUAUUAAAGUUGUUGCGGUUAAAACGUUCGUAGUUGAACUUGUGCUUCAUACGGGUAGUACAACUUACAAUUGUGGUUAGUACUAUACCUUUAUGUAUGUAAGCGUAUUACCGGUGGAGUUCUUAUAUAUGUUUAAAUACUUGUAUUUUUUUCAUAUGUUCCUCCUAUUUAAAAACCUGCAUUAGUGCUCUUAAACGAGUGUUAUUGUGGGCCGGUACAAUUACUUUGAACAAAUUAGAGUGCUUAAAGCAGGCUUCAAAUGCCUGAAUAUUCUGUGCAUGGGAUAAUGAAAUAAGACCUCUGUUCUGCUUUCAUUGGUUUUCAGAUCAAGAGGUAAUGAUUAAUAGAAGCAGUUUGGGAGCAUUAGUAUUACGACGCGAGAGGUGAAAUUCUUGGACCGUCGUAAGACUAACUUAAGCGAAAGCAUUUGCCAAAGAUGUUUUCAUUAAUCAAGAACGAAAGUUAGAGGUUCGAAGGCGAUCAGAUACCGCCCUAGUUCUAACCAUAAACGAUGCCAGCUAGCAAUUGGGUGUAGCUACUUUUAUGGCUCUCUCAGUCGCUUCCCGGGAAACCAAAGCUUUUGGGCUCCGGGGGAAGUAUGGUUGCAAAGCUGAAACUUAAAGGAAUUGACGGAAGGGCACCACCAGGAGUGGAGCCUGCGGCUUAAUUUGACUCAACACGGGAAAACUUACCAGGUCCGAACAUAAGUGUGUAAGACAGAUUGAUAGCUCU